rnacentral:rRNA from 1 species
GACGAACGCUGGCGGCGUGCUUAACACAUGCAAGUCGAACGGUAAGGCCCUUCGGGGUACACGAGUAGCGAACGGGUGAGUAACACGUGGGUGAUCUGCCCUGCACUUCGGGAUAAGCCUGGGAAACUGGGUCUAAUACCGGAUAGGACUCCGGACUGCAUGGUCUGGGGUGGAAAGCUUUUGCGGUGUGGGAUGGGCCCGCGGCCUAUCAGCUUGUUGGUGGGGUGAUGGCCUACCAAGGCGACGACGGGUAGCCGGCCUGAGAGGGUGACCGGCCACACUGGGACUGAGAUACGGCCCAGACUCCUACGGGGGGCAGCAGUGGGGGAUAUUGCACAAUGGGCGCAAGCCUGAUGCAGCGACGCCGCGUGAGGGAUGACGGCCUUCGGGUUGUAAACCUCUUUCAGCAUCGACGAAGCGAAAGUGACGGUAGGUGCAGAAGAAGGACCGGCCAACUACGUGCCAGCAGCCGCAGUAA